rnacentral:rRNA from 1 species
GACGAACGCUGGCGGCGUGCUUAACACAUGCAAGUCGAACGGAAAGGCCCUGCUUUUGGGGGGUGCUCGAGUGGCGAACGGGUGAGUAACACGUGAGUAACCCGCCCUUGACUUUGGGAUAACUUCAGGAAACUGGGGCUAAUACCGGAUAGGAGCUCCUGCUGCAUGGUGGGGGUUGGAAAGUUUCGGCGGUUGGGGAUGGACUCGCGGCUUAUCAGCUUGUUGGUGGGGUAGUGGCUUACCAAGGCUUUGACGGGUAGCCGGCCUGAGAGGGUGACCGGCCACAUUGGGACUGAGAUACGGCCCAGACUCCUACGGGAGGCAGCAGUGGGGAAUAUUGCACAAUGGGCGGAAGCCUGGUGCAGCAACGCCGCGUGCGGGGUGACGGCCUUCGGGUUGUAAACCGCUUUCGCCUGUGACGAAGCGUGAGUGACGGUAAUGGGUAAAGAAGCACCGGCUAACUACGUGCCAGCAGCCGCGGUGAUACGUAGGGUGCGAGCGUUGUCCGGAUUUAUUGGGCGUAAAGGGCUCGUAGGUGGUUGAUCGCGUCGGAAGUGUAAUCUUGGGGCUUAACCCUGAGCGUGCUUUCGAUACGGGUUGACUUGAGGAAGGUAGGGGAGAAUGGAAUUCCUGGUGGAGCGGUGGAAUGCGCAGAUAUCAGGAGGAACACCAGUGGCGAAGGCGGUUCUCUGGGCCUUUCCUGACGCUGAGGAGCGAAAGCGUGGGGAGCGAACGGGCUUAGAUACCCUGGUAGUCCACGCUGUAAACGGUGGGUACUAGGUGUGGGGUCCAUUCCACGGGUUCCGUGCCGUAGCUAACGCUUUAAGUACCCCGCCUGGGGAGUACGGCCGCAAGGCUAAAACUCAAAGGAAUUGACGGGGCCCCGCACAAGCGGCGGAGCAUGCGGACUAAUUCGAUGCAACGCGUAGAACCUUACCUGGGUUUGACAUGGAUCGGGAGUGCUCAGAGAUGGGUGUGCCUCUUUUGGGGUCGGUUCACAGGUGGUGCAUGCCUGUCGUCAGCUCGUGUCGUGAGAUGUUGGGUUAAGUCCCGCAACGAGCGCAACCCUUGUUCACUGUUGCCAGCACGUUAUGGUGGGGACUCAGUGGAGACCGCCGGGGUCAACUCGGAGGAAGGUGGGGAUGACGUCAAGUCCUCAUGCCCCUUAUGUCCAGGGCUUCACGCAUGCUACAAUGGCUGGUACAGAGAGUGGCGAGCCUGUGAGGGUGAGCGAAUCUCGGAAAGCCGGUCUCAGUUCGGAUCGGGGUCUGCAACUCGACCUCAUGAAGUCGGAGUCGCUAGUAAUCGCAGAUCAGCAACGCUGCGGUGAAUACGUUCCCGGGGCU